GACGAACGCUGGCGGCGUGCUUAACACAUGCAAGUCGAACGGAAAGGCCCUGCUUUUGUGGGGUGCUCGAGUGGCGAACGGGUGAGUAACACGUGAGUAACCUGCCCUUGACUUUGGGAUAACUUCAGGAAACUGGGGCUAAUACCGGAUAGGAGCUCCUGCUGCAUGGUGGGGGUUGGAAAGUUUCGGCGGUUGGGGAUGGACUCGCGGCUUAUCAGCUUGUUGGUGGGGUAGUGGCUUACCAAGGCUUUGACGGGUAGCCGGCCUGAGAGGGUGACCGGCCACAUUGGGACUGAGAUACGGCCCAGACUCCUACGGGAGGCAGCAGUGGAGAAUAUUGCACAAUGGGCGGAAGCCUGAUGCAGCAACGCCGCGUGCGGGAUGACGGCCUUCGGGUUGUAAACCGCUUUCGCCUGCGACGAAGCGUGAGUGACGGUAAUGGGUAAAGAAGCACCGGCUAACUACGUG
rnacentral:rRNA from 1 species